GCGAAGUCCCGCAAGGGAUCAGUAGAGUGGCAAACGGGUGAGUAACACGUGGGUGACCUGCCUUCGAGUGGGGGAUAACAUCCCGAAAGGGAUGCUAAUACCGCAUGACAUCCUGCUGUUGAAGCGGCGGAGAUCAAGGCUGGGGAUCGCAAGACCUGGCGCUUGAAGAGGGGCCCGCGCCCGAUUAGCUAGUUGGUGGGGUAAUGGCUCACCAAGGCAACGAUCGGUAGCCGGCCUGAGAGGGCGGACGGCCACACUGGGACUGAGACACGGCCCAGACUCCUACGGGAGGCAGCAGUAGGGAAUUGUUCGCAAUGGGCGCAAGCCUGACGACGCAACGCCGCGUGGAGGAUGAAGAUCUUCGGGUCGUAAACUCCUUUCGAUUGGGACGAACUCCCUGGGGGUGAACAACCUUCGGGGUUGACGGUACCGAGAGAAGAAGCCCCGGCUAACUCCGUGCCAGCAGCCGCGGUAAUACGGGGGGGGCAAGCGUUGUUCGGAAUUACUGGGCGUAAAGGGCUCGUAGGCGGCCGACUAAGUCAGACGUGAAAUCCCUCGGCUUAACCGGGGAACUGCGUCUGAUACUGGACGGCUUGAGUUCGGGAGAGGGGAUGCGGAAUUCCAGGUGUAGCGGUGAAAUGCGUAGAUAUCUGGAGGAACACCGGUGGCGAAAGCGGCAUCCUGGACCGACACUGACGCUGAUGAGCGAAAGCCAGGGGAGCAAACGGGAUUAGAUACCCCGGUAGUC
rnacentral:rRNA from 1 species